UACGGAGGGAGCUAGCGUUGUUCGGAAUUACUGGGCGUAAAGCGCACGUAGGCGGCUCGAUGCGUCUGAUGUGAAAUCUCCUCGCUCAACGGGGAGAGGCCAUUGGAAACGGUCGGGCUGGAGGGCAGUAGAGGCAGGCGGAAUUCCGGGUGGAGUGGUGAAAUGCGUAGAGAUCCGGAGGAACACCAGAGGCGAAGGCGGCCUGCUGGGCUGCACCUGACGCUGAGGAGCGAAAGCGUGGGGAGCAAACAGG
rnacentral:rRNA from 1 species